GCGGGCCGUACCACCAGCGCGGACGCGUCGUGGAAGGCUACCAAGGCCGCUGGUGGGGCGGCCGGAGGCGCCCCGCCUCUCCCGCCUCUACAGUGAGCCGGCCCCGAACACACCCCUCACGCCCCAGGUCGAUUCCUCCCGAACAGUGAUGAGCAAGGAAGGGGUCGCCCUAGUCGACUGCACACGCGCUGGGGUCCUGGGGCCGCCUGAGGGGCGCUGCCCGGCAACUCCUCUGUGCCCACCGCCCCGGCCCGCGGACAGGACCAGGCAGAGCCCCCAUGUGACCCCGAAGCCCAGCCCCCCGGAAGGCCCGCUCGGCCGCGCAGCCCUGACUCAGCCCUGCGGCCCCGCCGGGUCCACGCUCAGAGGCCGGCCCGAGGCCACGGCGCCCGGGAGGCAGGGUCAAGUGCAGUUUCUCUUCCCUACUCCGUGCGGCCGUGGGCAGGGGACCCGGCUCCCCUCCACCCAGUUCCGCCCAGGCCGGCCCCGCGCUCGGAACCGCAUCUAGGCCCCGGGGCUGUCACGGCGCCGGCUGGGCAUGCGGCCCGAGGGUCGCUGGUUGUGACGGGGCAGCAGCUGGCAUUGCUCAGCAGGCGGCGCCUGUGGUCGGCGGAGUGCGUCCCGCAGGGUGUGGGAUGGGCGUGUGAACCGCCAUCCGGCGUCCUCCCCGCCCGUGGCCUCCCGCCCUCGAGGCCCGCAGAAGAUGCAACCGAGGGGCCCAGAACCUGGCGCAGCCUCUCCGGCUUGAAAUCGGACCGCCCUGGGCUCCAGCCCCGCCAGCUGGGAGAGGUUGAGAGAACCUGCUUAACCUGGAGCCCGGCCUCGGGUGUGAAGGUGGACGCCCGCCUGGCCGGGGGCGCCCCGAAGCUCACGUGUCCCCACGGUCUCACCCCGCAGCCUUUCUUACUUUAGGGUAUAACUGGUGAUACAUAACCCAGCAGAACUGAGAAGACUUUGAAUGAAAUGCACCCUGAUUCCUGCUCACAACCUGUCAUCCCCAAUGAGGCACCCAUGUUUCCAGCCUGGCCACUGGCCUCCCGAGGUCCAUCUCCUCCCGGCUCCAUCCCUCUCCCUGCCCGACAGCAAGGUCACUGUGUGUGUGACAUCAAGCUAAGCCCUUUCUGUAAAUGGUCCAGUCCCACCUCAGCUGCACGGCACGCUCUUGGACGCUCUUACCCGUGUGUCUUAGAUGAGGAAACUGAGGUUUACGUCGGUGAGGCUGUGACUCGUCCUGCUUCCUACAGCAGCUCAGGAUGAGGCUGAGUUUUGGGGUUUUACGCCGUGAGGACUUGGAGAAGAGGACUAAAAACUCACCUUUUAGAGGAGGUGGCCAGGACGGCAUCUCUUUUUUUUGAUCGUAUAAGUAAUACAUGCUCAUUGUUUGUUUAAUCAAGAAAAAACAGGCUUUUAAAAGACA